UACGAGGGGGGCAAGCGUUGUUCGGAAUUAUUGGGCGUAAAGGGCGCGUAGGCGGCUCAUGAAGGCUGUGGUGAAAGUCCGGGGCUCAACCUCGGAUCGGCCGUGGCGACUCGUGGGCUGGAGCACUGUAGAGGCGGGUGGAAUUCCGGGUGUAGCGGUGGAAUGCGUAGAGAUCCGGAAGAACACCAGUGGCGAAGGCGGCCCGCUGGGCAGUGGCUGACGCUGAGGCGCGACAGCGUGGGGAGCAAACAGG
rnacentral:rRNA from 1 species